UACAGAGGUCUCAAGCGUUUGUUCGGAAUUACUGGGCGUAAAGGGUGCGCAGGCCGCGCGGGCAGUCAAAUGUGUAAUCCAGGGGCUCAACCCCUGAACUGCGCUUGAUACUUCCGCGCUCGAGCUUUGGAGAGGAGUCGUGGAAUUCUCGGUGUAGCAGUGAAAUGCGUGGAUAUCGAGAAGAACACUUAGGGCGUAGGCAAGACUCUGGACAAAUGCUGACGCUCAUGCACGAAGGCUAGGGGUAGCGAACGGG
rnacentral:rRNA from 1 species